CUACGACAAAUUUAGCAACAUCUACUGCUACACCAAUAGCCUGCCUCAUCGACAUAAUGCUAGCACUACUUAUGCCAGCUGCAACACUGUCAGUGACAACAACAUAAACGGUGAUAACCAAUCUGAUGCGAGUGCAACCAUCUUCGUCACGAUCUCUACAUGAAGGGUUCAUGAAAAUCUAGGAGCGACCUUGGAUACUCCUAUAGCAUCUACCCUCAUGUCAUAUUCACUAGUAGCAUCAACCAUAUAGGUCAUAGGCUCUCACUACAAGAACGAAAACAACAACAAGAAAACUACAACAUGAUCAUCAUCACAUGCCUCGUCCUUCAUCAACAAAGCGACACUGCUACCACAUAAUACAAUCAUAUCUAUGUCAUAGACGCCUACCCCCACACCAACCACAGUCGUCGCUAAACAAGAAAAAAACAAAGCAGAUCCACCAAAAAAACAUAAUAUUACUUCACCACCAGCUAGUGCUUCAUCAACAAUCAGCACAUCUACUAUAACGAC
rnacentral:lncRNA from 1 species